GUGAACUCUUUACUGUACAGAUGAGAAUCUGAGGUGCAAAGAGGUUAAACGACUUCUCUACAGUCACACACAAAGUGAAGAGUAAGAGUUCUGACAUCCAAAUGAAAUUUUUUCUUUCCAGCAGACUGCUAGCUCUUUUUAGCAGGUGGAAGUUUCCUCAGAUCUCAGACAGCUUCUUUCCGGUGUGUGAUUUGGCGCAGAUAUCCUGAAUUAUCUUUCCCCAUCAGAACAUGCAUUUCUGGCAAGACAGAGGCUCUCAUUCCCUGCCUUUCCCCUACCAGUUUCCCUAGAUCAGGUUCCUGUAAUUCUUUAGUGGAAGACGCCAAAUAACUGGAAUGAGGCUAUUUAUCCUUGGAACUCAUUUAGGAAAACUUGGUUUUCUUGGCCAAGUAUUACAAUGAAAACUAACUCCAUGUAGACAGCAUGGGCAGAAUGAGGAUGGACAGCUGACUCAUCACAGGUUUUCUGUCUUUCCUCUUCUGUCUCCUUCCAUCUGGAGUCGAGGGUGAAGCCACUCCACUGCAGACCAUUGAGUGCUGAGAGGAAUGGAGUCAGUAUUACUGAGCACCUGUGCUGUUGUAGUCACUCAGCCCUUGCUUCUAGGACACUGGAGGAAAGAGACGGAAAUAUAGUAUAUCACUUUACCUGUCUGCACUACAUUGCGUGAUGUGGAAGUCACUGAAUUUCUUCAUUCAUCAGUUUCUACAUAUUCAACCAAAGAGGUUGAGCCUGAUAAUAAUUAGUUUCUCAUUGUUGUGACACUCUGAGUGCACAUAUGUGGGGAUGGAUAUCCUCCAUACAGAAAGCAUGAUGAUGGUUUUGAUGCUGAGAAAUGGACUUUCUAUGAACUCAAAGAUUUUGUUUUUUAAAGAAAGAAAGAAAAAGGAGUGAAGGAGAGGAAGAAAGAGGAAGAAGAAGAGGGAGAGAGAAUGGGAAUAUAGCUUUAUUCUAAAAAUGGGAAUUAAUAAUGGCAGUUCAAUAUUUUGUGUAUUUAAGGUGGAGAAUGUAUAUUUUGUGUAUUUAAAGUGGAGAGCUCUAUAAAUAUUUAUUGAGUUUACUUGUUCUGAAUCUGAGUUCAAGUACUGGAUAUCCUUAUUAAUUUUUUGUCUCAUU
rnacentral:lncRNA from 13 species